rnacentral:rRNA from 1 species
AAACUUCAGCAACGGAUCUCUUGGCUCUCGCAUCGAUGAGAACGCAGCGAAAUGCGAUACGUAAUGUGAAUUGCAGAUUCCGUGAAUCAUCGAAUCUUUGAACGCACAUUGCGCCUUUGGGCCAAACCAAGGCAUGCCAGUGUCA